rnacentral:ncRNA from 1 species
AUAAAGUUUGAUUCUAGCUUAUUAAAUUUACCUUUUUUUAAUUGUACAUGUAUAUUUUAGUGUGAUAAUUUUAUCUAAAUGAUGAAUUAAUUUAUAAUCGCAGUUUUUUAUUUUAUUUUUUAUAAAAGUAUAGAUUUAGUUAAAUGGAAGAGUUCUGACUAACGUUGUGCCAGCAGUCGCGGUUACACAAUGGGGGCAAGUAAAUUUUUAUUGGUUUGUAUUUAGUUUGUGUUAUUAAUUACUUUAAUUUGAAGUUAUUGGGGUGAAAUCAAUAUUUCUUGUUAGGUAGUUUUGAAUGAUUAAAUAUGAAAAUUUGGUAUGAGACUGGGAUUAGAGACCCCAUUAUUAUAAAUUGUGAAUUUAUAAUCUUAGUAUUAAUAGUUAAGAUCUUUAAAUUAAAAGAAUUUGGCGGUAAUUUAGUCUGUUCAGAGGAAUCUGCCCUGUAAUUGAUGAUCCACGAUUAAUUUUACUUUAUUUAAGCUUGUAUAUCUCUGUCAUUGAAUGUCUUAUUAGGGUAUUUUCAUUAAUUAUUAUAGUAGAAAAUGUCAGGUCAAGGUGCAGCCAUAAUAAAGAAGAGGUGGAUUACAUUAAAUGUAUUUAUGGAGAAGUAUGAUGGAAUAUUGCUUUGAAAUUGGAUUUGAGAGUAAAUUUUAUUAGAAUGUGGAGUUGAUUUAGCUCUAAAUUAUGCACAUAUCGCCCGUCACUCUCGUUUAUUAAAAUGAGAUAAGUCGUAACAAAGUAGGCUUAUUGGAAAAUGAGCCUGGUAUAUC